AUUAAUAUUAAAGAUGAGUGAGUUAGAGGCGACAAAUGCUUAAUUUUCCUCAUACACAUACUGAAACACCAAGCUGGUAUAUUAAGAUUUAUCCACUCUGGAGACCAAUUCCAAAAAGCUCUGUUUUUGGGUGGAGUUUCAGUUGCUGUGGCACCUAGAUUUGCAGUGGGGUGGUGUGGUGGGAACUUGAGUGAGGACACCUCAACCCAGUCUCCUAGAAAUGAUGUGUGUAUACUACUAAUUUGUUGCGUGGAUUAUGUGUUACUGGAGGUGGAAGUUGUAGGAGGUGGUUUGGGUGGACAGUGGGUGUACAAAGGGCAGGACUUUGACACCAGAGACCAGGGUUUGCAUCAUGAGUCCUGUGUAUGAUUAGGUAUAGGCAACAGCAGCACUUUGGUUAAUGGGGCUGUAAGCAAUAUCAGCAUUUAUGCUAACUUCCUGUCUGUUCUUGCAGACUAGCACUCCCCUCCCUCCUCCCCAUGUUUCCAACAGUAUUAGGCACAGCAGCAAUGGAAAGCAGUGGGUCAUCUACCUCUGAAUACAAUUGUCACAGUCUGUCUUGUUCUUUCCCCGUCACUCUGCACUCCCUCACCUGAUUAUUGAUUCCCAGCACCUGUCACCCAUAGCACACCUGCACAUAAUCAGCCACUCUACUCCCUAUAUAACACAGCUCCUCACCUCAGUCAGUGUCUGGUCUCGUUCAUGGUAGAGGACAGAACGCUAGUUCACCUAUCUCCUAGAACAAUUUGGACUCCCUUCGCCGAAACCUACCCAUUCUCUGCUACUGCUAUUCAGUACCUCUUCCCUGGCUCCUUCGUGUUCCUGUCAUCUGUGUGGUUCACUUCAGCUCCAGUCUCAGUGUAUCUCCAGUCUUCCGUGUGUGAUCACUCCAGCUCCAGUCCCCGUUGAGCUCCCGUCUCCCUUCACAUCAGGCAGACCAACCAAGAGGACGAGGUCGGGGAGGAGGAAGAGCUGCGGGCCGGGCAGAGGAGGACCAGGACACAGUCGUGGUAGAAAGAUAGGCAGAGGCGCCUUUGGUCUGUCUGAGGAAGACGCACUAUGUGUGCAAGGCAACCGGGUUGUGAUCCCCAUUUGCUGCAUCUUGAAGAUUCAGGAGCGUAUUCCAGAUCCUCACGGCUGAUACGUAGGCUUUCGCCCAAAUAGGGUGUAGGCCUAACUGACACUACACUACUGACUGACACUACAGUCACUAUACACUUCUGUUAUAUUGUAAUUGUGUAUAUUGUAAUAUUUCAAAAUGUAUAUAGCUUUAAUAAUAAAAAACUUUUCACAUUCACCCGA